GAUGAACGCUGGCGGCGUGCCUAAUACAUGCAAGUCGAGCGAACGGACGAGAAGCUUGCUUCUCUGAUGUUAGCGGCGGACGGGUGAGUAACACGUGGAUAACCUACCUAUAAGACUGGGAUAACUUCGGGAAACCGGAGCUAAUACCGGAUAAUAUUUUGAACCGCAUGGUUCAAAAGUGAAAGACGGUCUUGCUGUCACUUAUAGAUGGAUCCGCGCUGCAUUAGCUAGUUGGUAAGGUAACGGCUUACCAAGGCAACGAUGCAUAGCCGACCUGAGAGGGUGAUCGGCCACACUGAACUGAGACACGGUCCAGACUCCUACGGGAGGCAGCAGUAGGGAAUCUUCCGCAAUGGGCGAAAGCCUGACGGAGCAACGCCGCGUGAGUGAUGAAGGUCUUCGGAUCGUAAAACUCUGUUAUUAGGGAAGAACAUAUGUGUAAGUAACUGUGCACAUCUUGACGGUACCUAAUCAGAAAGCCACGGCUAACUACGU
rnacentral:rRNA from 1 species